GAGUUUGAUCAUGGCUCAGAUUGAACGCUGGCGGCAGGCCUAACACAUGCAAGUCGAACGGUAACAGGAAGAAGCUUGCUUCUUUGCUGACGAGUGGCGGACGGGUGAGUAAUGUCUGGGAAACUGCCUGAUGGAGGGGGAUAACUACUGGAAACGGUAGCUAAUACCGCAUAACGUCGCAAGACCAAAGAGGGGGACCUUCGGGCCUCUUGCCAUCGGAUGUGCCCAGAUGGGAUUAGCUAGUAGGUGGGGUAACGGCUCACCUAGGCGACGAUCCCUAGCUGGUCUGAGAGGAUGACCAGCCACACUGGAACUGAGACACGGUCCAGACUCCUACGGGAGGCAGCAGUGGGGAAUAUUGCACAAUGGGCGCAAGCCUGAUGCAGCCAUGCCGCGUGUAUGAAGAAGGCCUUCGGGUUGUAAAGUACUUUCAGCGGGGAGGAAGGGAGUAAAGUUAAUACCUUUGCUCAUUGACGUUACCCGCAGAAGAAGCACCGGCUAACUCCGUGCCAGCAGCCACGGUAAUACGGAGGGUGCAAGCGUUAAUCGGAAUUACUGGGCGUAAAGCGCACGCAGGCGGUUUGUUAAGUCAGAUGUGAAAUCCCCGGGCUCAACCUGGGAACUGCAUCUGAUACUGGCAAGCUUGAGUCUCGUAGAGGGGGGUAGAAUUCCAGGUGUAGCGGUGAAAUGCGUAGAGAUCUGGAGGAAUACCGGUGGCGAAGGCGGCCCCCUGGACGAAGACUGACGCUCAGGUGCGAAAGCGUGGGGAGCAAACAGGAUUAGAUACCCUGGUAGUCCACGCCGUAAACGAUGUCGACUUGGAGGUUGUGCCCUUGAGGCGUGGCUUCCGGAGCUAACGCGUUAAGUCGACCGCCUGGGGAGUACGGCCGCAAGGUUAAAACUCAAAUGAAUUGACGGGGGCCCGCACAAGCGGUGGAGCAUGUGGUUUAAUUCGAUGCAACGCGAAGAACCUUACCUGGUCUUGACAUCCACGGAAGUUUUCAGAGAUGAGAAUGUGCCUUCGGGAACCGUGAGACAGGUGCUGCAUGGCUGUCGUCAGCUCGUGUUGUGAAAUGUUGGGUUAAGUCCCGCAACGAGCGCAACCCUUAUCCUUUGUUGCCAGCGGUCCGGCCGGGAACUCAAAGGAGACUGCCAGUGAUAAACUGGAGGAAGGUGGGGAUGACGUCAAGUCAUCAUGGCCCUUACGACCAGGGCUACACACGUGCUACAAUGGCGCAUACAAAGAGAAGCGACCUCGCGAGAGCAAGCGGACCUCAUAAAGUGCGUCGUAGUCCGGAUUGGAGUCUGCAACUCGACUCCAUGAAGUCGGAAUCGCUAGUAAUCGUGGAUCAGAAUGCCACGGUGAAUACGUUCCCGGGCCUUGUACACACCGCCCGUCACACCAUGGGAGUGGGUUGCAAAAGAAGUAGGUAGCUUAACCUUCGGGAGGGCGCUUACCACUUUGUGAUUCAUGACUGGGGUGAAGUCGUAACAAGGUA
rnacentral:rRNA from 1 species